rnacentral:lncRNA from 1 species
CAGAAUUACAUCCAAAGAACUGUGCAUAACAUUGUCGCGCAGACACAAAAACUGUACAGUUUUUUUGUUAGUUUGUGUUGUUUUCCAUAUUUGUUGCUUUCCAUCCAACUGCUCACGAGAUGAAUUAAGUGUUGUAGGAAAACACUUAACUUACAAGAAGCAAAUGUCAAGAUACCAAAGCCAGUUGCAAAGUGACUAGGCAUCUGUGUAGAACAUCGCCUCCUCUCCUUGCUAGCUCCAUGAUUGUACGUAUUAUUAAUCUCCCUUCCUUGGAAUGAGUAAAAAUUGCUAAUACCACCAAUAGAAGUUCAAUCAAUUAAUAGGUGAUGGUUACAGUAAACUUCUGUUGAUGUGUUGUGUAAAUCUGUUAAGCAGUUUUCCGUCUCUUUUCAUUUGCUAUUUGUAUCUACCUCUGAGUCAAGUUGGCUUUCUAGUUGACAGAUAGUAUUGUAGUUCACAGUGUAUUCCAUAUUCUGUAGUUGUAGUAUGAACAUAAUGCAGUGUUCAUUGACUUCCUAAUACCUUCGUUGGUCCCAUUUCCAGAUGCCAAUUGAAAGAUGGUAAUCCUUUGAUGACUGAAAGUCGAAACAAAACUUGUACUCCCUAGAAAACUGGAGACUGUCCAUGCUUCUUUGCUUAUGCUCAUCAGUGAUAUCCUUUUCUGAGAAUGAGCACAUAGUGCUAAUAUCACCCAUAAAAGUUUAAACACAUGAGGAUUGCUAGCUACAAUACAAUUUCCUGCAAAAAAGAACACAGUGUUAGUCGUAAGCUUGUGUACUAUGUUCUCCUCCAUAAAGCAUGGAUCACAGCAUUCCCUAUGAUUUGCAUUCCUCCUACUGGUUUGCUUCUUCAUCACCCCUAAUUCUUGGCAACCUUCACCCUCAAAUAUGGACAUUUUGAUUUAUCAAAAUUCACAAUCCUUCGACCAUGUACAUCAAGCUGUGCAAAACCAUGUACUUCAAUAUCCCCAUUGUCUAGAGCAUAAUUAGCUAGAUGAUCUGCUAAGCUAUUUUCCCCCACACAAUAUGGGAAAUUGUAAUAUUACACCCUUCAAUAAGAUUUGUUAUUUCUUCCACAUAUUCAGUAACAUUCCAGGGUGGUAUCCACGUUCCAUUUAACACAUUCUUCAUGAUCAUGGUCCACACUGUCUGUUUGUAGCCAAAACUGUGUGAAUCGAUGGUCCACACAAUAUCUCAAUCCCUCUAGAAUAUCUAGAGCUUCUGCCUCAUUGUUUGUAGCUGGUAGAACAUCCCUUCCUAGUGCAUAAAUGACAUCUCCUUCCUCAUCUCUCAACACAAAACCUAUAGAACUUCAUCCAGGAUUUCUCCUACUCACCCCAUCUGUAUUGACCUUGGUCAAUCAUUCAAAGGAGAACUCCCAUAUCACUUUUGUUACUUUCAAAGCUGGAGUAUAUUGCUUCAGGUUUUGGAUCAAAUCAGGACAUUUGUGAGGCACGUUUUACAUAUUAGGCUUCCUUACUUUGACAAGAGAUUGUAAUGUGCUAGAGACUUGAUAUAAAACUCUGCCGAUUGUCACCACCUCUCCAUGCUUGUAACUAUUUCUUCUCUUCCACAACUCCCAAAUGAUGAUCACUGGUAAUGCUUGUAUAAUAGGUUACAGUCGUGGUAUUACUUUAGCAGUCAAGCAUUUUACAAUUGCUUGGCGUAAAGCCAGCCCUUCCAUGUCAAAACCUGCAUUUGUUAGGAAAUAUGUCCAUACCCUCGUAGUUGUGAAUGAUGUAAAGAAUACAUGUAGCAGAGUUUCUUCAACUAGCUCGGUACAGCACCAGCAUUUUGAUGGCACAUAAUAUCCCAAUCUCUUCAUAAAAUCAUCAAGAGGAAUCUUUGAUUUCCAAAUAUUCCAAAGGAAGAAUGAGAUUUUAUAUGCAAACUUUUCAGCCACAUCUUAUUGUAUGCUAACCCAUGUUCUUUCCUCCUCCUCAAAUACUCCCAUGUAGUCUUGACACUAAAAUUAUCUUUCGUUUACAAUAUCCAGUAUAGUUUCUCCAAGACCUCAUGACAGACUGGGGCUUUUAUAUUCUCCAAAAUGUGAAUUUCUUAUUCCUCGGGUAGUGACUCCAUUAACUUGUCGACAUUCCAUGAUCCUGUAUCGACUACGUCAUAUACAUUAUUGAUCGACUCAUCUAUUGCAAAAUCUGGAGGCAUGAGGAAGUACAAGGCUCCAAGACAAGUCCAGCUUAAAUACCAAAAAAGAGAUGAUCCCAUUUUUAUGUGCCACCCUAUUUGAUGCUCUAUAAGAUCUCUACACUCAAGCAUUUUUCUCCAAAUAUGUGAUCCUUUUCUCCAAGAAACAAUGAUAGGAUUAAGCUUCUUACAAUAUUUUUGGCUCAUGAACGAACUCCAUAAACUAGGUUUUGUUCUAAAAUUCCACCAUAGCUUGCAAAAGAGAGCUUUGGAAGUAUCAUGUAAUGACCUAAACCCCACCCAACCUUCUUCACAUGGUAGAUAUAGAGUGUCCCAAGAUUCCCAUUGUUUGCUUUUGCCUCCAACUGCACUACUCCAGAAAAAUCGAGCAAACAUUUUAUGUAACUCAGUGAUCACAUAGGAAGGAGGGGUCACGACAGACAAUAAAUGGAUUGGCAUAGUUUGUAACACAUGUGAUAUCAUUGUAGCUUUGCCUCCAAUUGAUAAAAGUUUGCCUUUCCAUGAAUGCAUUUUGUCCAUGACCUUGUUUAUGAGACCUUCAUAAUACUCCAUCUUCCUUCUAGUAUAGAAUAUGAGACAACCAAGAUAAAUGAAUAGAAAUUCGUGUCUGUCUAUGCCUGUAACCCUCUGAACCUUGUUCACCACCUCAACAAAAGCAGAAUGAUGCACGUACAUUGCAGAUUUUGAUUUGUUCAUGAGAUGACCUGAUGCUGCUUCGUAGGCCGCCAACACCUCCAACACCAGUUGAAGAGAUAUUGCGCAUGAAGCGGAACAUAUAAUUGUAUCAUCCGCGUAGGCUAAAUGAUUUAUUUUUGGGCUCCAUUUUGGCAGUCCAAAUCCAAAAAAAUAUAAACUUUGAUGUAAUGCAUUCAAACCUCUAGAUAAAGCUUCUGCAGCUAAGAUGAAUAGAGUAGGAGAUAAAGGAUCCCUUUGCUUCACUCCUCUUGUGUAUUUAAAAAAACCAUAUUGUUGUCCAUUUCGUAACACAGAAUACCAGUUAUUCGAUAUGAUACCAAAGAUCAAGCCUAUGAAUCUUUCUCCAAACCCCAUUUUCCUCAUGAACUUAGUCAAGAAUAUCCAAGAUAAUCGAUCAUAAGCUUUCGUCAUGUCUAACUUUAUCACCACAUUAGGCCCAGCUUUUGUUCUCAACCUAAUAUCCUUAAUUAUCUCUUGUGUUAGUAACAUAUUCUCAACAAUGCUUCUGCCUUUGACGAAUCCUGCUUGCUCAACAGAUAUCAUAUUUGGAAGGAGAUCAACCAACCUUUCAUGAACCACCCUGGAAAAUAUUUUGUUAUCAAAAUUGCUCAGGCUAAUAGGUCGCAUAUCUGAAAAUGUAAUCACCUCUUUCUUCUUUUGAAAUAGUACCAAAUUUGUGUGAGUUAUAAAUUUUUGGUAGCUCGUGUCCAUUAAUGAAUGGCUGGACCAUGUGUUUUACAUCCUCUCCAAUUAUAUCCCAGCAUGUAUGGAAGAAAAAUCCAGUGAAACCAUCCUCGCCCUAAGCACUAUCACCAUUAAGCCUAAACACAUCAUGCUUAGUUUCUUCCUUCGUUGGCUGCUUCACUAGUUCUUGGUUCUGUUCAGAAUUAACCCUGUGAGGUACAUGAUUAAUAAAGUCAAAAGCAUCAGGAGCUAUAUCUUCAUGAAAUUGUGACUUAAAAAAUUCCACUGCUUCACUAGCCAUAUCUUCAUCGUUUUAAAUCCAGUCACCUUCAGCAUUUUGAAUCCCUUUGAGCUGCAAUCUUCUCCUCCUACCAUUAACUUGAGCAUGGAAAACUUUGCAUUUGAACCAAGCCAUACCUGAUUUUUGUAUCCAUAAUUCCUCUUCUAAAGCCAAAUAACGUCGCAGUUAUGCCUGUACUUUGCGUAACCUCUCUCGAUUCUGUUGAGAUGGAUUCAUCUCAAACUCAGCUUCAUGGACAAGGACCACUUGUCCAAGGCUUGAAAUCUUUUGAAAAGUAUCACCAUAUGUUUCCCUACUCCAUGAGGAUAAAAGCUUUCUUCAACUUAUUCAAUUUAUAAUUAAAAAGAUAGAAAGGAUGUGUGUAGAAAUCAGUAGUCCAGUUUUCCUUCACCACAUCAAUAAAUGAUUCAUGUUUUGUCCAAAAAUUAAGAAACUUAAACGACUUCUUGAAUGGGACAGUGUUGGUAGAAAUAGUCAACUGGAAUGGGCUAUGAUCUGAUCCAAUCUUUGAGAGAUGAAUGAUCUCCAAACUUGGAAAUGACUGUUGGAAUUCAAUAUUAGGGAGAACUCUAUCCAAGUUCUUGAAAAAUACAAUUGUCUACAGCCCGACCAUUCCACCAUGUGUAAAUACUCCCCUUAAAGCCACUAUCAUAUAGAUUACAUGUAUUAACACAAUGCCUAAAAUCCAUAGCUUCAUUCAUAUGCAUGGGACGUCUUUCAAACUUCUUCUCUCCAUCCCAUAUAACAUUAAAAUCACCUCCCACAAUCCAUGGAAGUGACAUAUUCCUUUGCGAGUGCAUACAUUGAGUCCCAUAGUUCAAUCCUCUCAAUUGCAUCACAUUUCGCUUACAUUAGUGUAAGAAUAAAAGUCUUCUGAGUAUUCACAAUGACAAGCUUCAUAGUGAGUUGUUGUUCCAAGUCCAUCAGUAUCAUAACAUCAUACACUUCAUCAAUAAAAGCCAAAAUCUUAUUAGAAAUAUUACCAAAAGCCUAGGCAAAUCCAAUUUUCCUCCUAUAUUUUUCCAAUUUCCUAGCAUGUUGCAUUGGCUCCAUAAGCGCAAUAAAUUCAAAGUGAUGUUGUAUAUGAAUUGUGAUAGCCCUUUCAAAGGCUUUCUUAGUGUUCACUGAUCUCACAUUCCAGAUAAGUGCAUUCAUUGUAACAGAUUUAAUUUAGAGAUAGUCCUUCUCGUUUGUACACUUGCUGGUUGCAAAAUAUGAGUAUCUUUCAGUUGCUUCUUUUUCCCCUUUCCAGUCGACUUUCCUUUCUCAAUAUGCCUUGGUGAUAGGUCUCCUUUUCUGGCUAUGUUGAGAAUAUUUUGUGUGGUGGAUUCUUGGUCUAAAUCUUUCCCUUUAGCUUCCAGAAAUGCAGUAUCUCCAUCAGUAUGGGUUUGUGCAAAAAUAUUUGUUUUGGCAUCUUUUAGAAUCAAGGAAGAAUUCUCAUUCUCCUUUGUGUUAUGCUUGGAUUUCGUAGUGAUAUAUUUGAAACUACCACUGUCAGUAGCUUGUUUAUCCACUAAUCAUAUCUCCCCUUUUUGGCAUCAGUAUGAGUGAUUAAAUUAUUUUCCUUUUGUAUGAUGCAUGCAUCAGUCGUACCACCAGCAGUAGCAAAAUAUUUGAGUGUGUUGUUUCCAUUCUCAUGCAGUUCCAAAUCCUCUGCAUGAUCUGUUGUUUUGUGAUCAAUACCCCCAUUCCCUGAUUUAUUUUGUUCCUGCACUUGCAUUCUAUUAACACUUUGUUCUUCAACUUCCUAUUCUUGAUCCUCCAUUGGACCUUCUUCAUCACUUUCAAAACCAUAUUCUCCUUCCUCAGUCUUCUUCAGCCUGAUCACUCCACAAUUUACUAGCACCUACUUGUGUUCUAUCCAAUUCACCUGUUGCAUCACUUUAAAUGGAGGUUUGGGAGACGCUGGGCCAAGGCUGGGAAUGCAGGUACGAAGAAUUGGCCGCAUCUGUGAGCCCGCAAGUGCGAGGCCUUGAGCGCAGAUGCGUAGAUGAGGCGUUUGGACUGGUUUCGCAGAUGCGCACCUGGGACCACAGAUGCGACUCCGCAGGUGCGAGGAAGGGGUCCGUAGAUGCGGAAUCACUGUGAUUAAGUGAGUUGUGCAGGUGCGCAACGGUGUCCGCAGAUGCAGAAGCGUAGGUGCGAGAAAAUGGCUGCAGGUGCGAAAAACCAGGGCAAAAACCAUAAAUAGAACCCUUCACGAAUUUUGGUCAUUCUUCACAAUUUCAACUCUGUUUUUGGAGCUUUUGGAGGGGUUUGAAGAGGGACUCAAGGGGAUUUCAUUGAGGUAAGUUAAUUAGGCCCUAAUACUUGUAUAUAUGGUGAUUUACCGUUAUUUAAUCAUGGUAAUUAGUGAAAAUGAGGAGUUAGGGCUUGGAAAUUUUAGAAAAGUAAUUUAAGGAUUUGAAGGACCAAACGAUGUUGGAUUUUGAUGAAUUUGGUUUGGUUAGACUCGUGAGUGAAUGAGCUUUCUAGUUUUGUAAAUUUUGUCGGAUUUUGAGACGUGGGCCCGGGGGCCGUGUUUGAGAUUUGACCGGUUUGAGGUAAGUAACGAUUGUAAAUAUGGUCCUGAGGGUAUGAAACCCCGGAUUUCAUAUCAUUCUACUAUUUUAAAGUGAUGCACAUGCUAGGUGAUGAGCGUGUGGGCGUGCACUGUUGAGGAUUUGUGACUUGGUCCAUCCCGUAGCAACUGUAAAGUUGCAUACUUUGUUGAAACCAUUGAUACUUAUAUGUUUUAAAAAGAUUUUCUGUAAAUCGGGUUGAAUGCCAUGUUUGGGCCUUGCGCCAAUGCUGUUUGGACCCUUAGGGACUGUUUCUUACCAUCCUCUCACUGUUUUUGAUUGAAAAUUCUAUACUCAGUCAUGUUUAUACUUGUUUACCGCAUAACUCAGUUUUAUGACUUUAUUUUGAUGCAUAUAAAUGUAUUGGGCUGAAUGCCCUAUUUUACUGAAAUGCCCGAGUGGCUUGAUUUGUGAGUAUGAGUGUGGAUCGGGGUUGCCCGCCUGUAGCAUACUUUAUGACUGAGUGAGGCCGAGGGCCUGAUUUGUGAGGAUGAGUGUGGAUCGGGCCUGCCUGCCUGCAACAUACAUUAUAAGUGAGUGAGGCCGAGGGCCUGAUUUGUGAGGAUGAGUGUGGAUCGGGACUGCUCGCUUGCAGCAUACUUUAUUAUUAUCACACGUGAGUUGUCCAUGCAGAUUAUAGUGCUUGGGCUGAAGGAGCCCCUCCGGAGUUUGUACACACCCCCAGUGAGCAUAGGUACCUACUGAGUGCGAGUGCCGAGUGCUGAGUGACUGGGAGGCAUGAGUGAUUGUGAGGUAUGCCCGAGUGGCAAGAGUGAUUGUGAGGUAUGCCCGAGUGGCAAGAGUGAUGGUGAGGUAUGCCCGAGUGGUACGAGUGACUAUGAGGUUUGCCCGAGGGAUUGUAUAUGAGUGAUGUUUUUGCCCGAGGGGCUGUUUAUGAUUUCAUCAUUUUUUGCUCACCUUUGCAUUGAGUCUUUGUUGGAAAAACUGUUGGAAAAAUAUCUUUAAAUGAUUUUUACUGGAACUGGGUUUAAACGAGAUGUUUGAUUCAAAUCCAGAUUUUAAAAGCAUGUGGUAUUUUGCAGAGAUUUCCUGAUGAACGUUAUAUGCUUUAUUGCUCGUCACUACUGCUCAGUCUUUAUUUAUUUUUGUUACUUACUGAGUUGGUGUACUCACAUUACUCCCUGCACCUGAUGUGCAGAUUUAGGUAUAGCUGGACACGGUAGCGGUUAUUGAGUGUUCUGGUUGCAGAUUUUCUUGGAGAUAGCAAGGUAGCUGUUUGGCGAUCGCAGCCCCUGCUCUUCUCCCUCUUAUCUUCCUCUUGUUGUAUUUAGCUAUUUUCCAGGCUGAUUUAGCCUUGAUAUUGUUAGACAAAUGGUAGCAGAUACUCAUGACUAGUGACACCCCGAUAUCGGGCUUUUAUUUUCCGCACUUCUAUUUUAUUUUCUUUUGAUUUGAACUCUUUAAAUGGAGG